UUUGUUGAUGCGCUCUAUCUGCAGUCGAGCGAACAGAUAAGGAGCUUGCUCCUUUGACGUUAGCGGCGGACGGGUGAGUAACACGUGGGUAACCUACCUAUAAGACUGGGAUAACUUCGGGAAACCGGAGCUAAUACCGGAUAACAUUUGGAACCGCAUGGUUCUAAAGUGAAAGAUGGUUUUGCUAUCACUUAUAGAUGGACCCGCGCCGUAUUAGCUAGUUGGUAAGGUAACGGCUUACCAAGGCGACGAUACGUAGCCGACCUGAGAGGGUGAUCGGCCACACUGGAACUGAGACACGGUCCAGACUCCUACGGGAGGCAGCAGUAGGGAAUCUUCCGCAAUGGGCGAAAGCCUGACGGAGCAACGCCGCGUGAGUGAUGAAGGGUUUCGGCUCGUAAAACUCUGUUAUUAGGGAAGAACAAAUGUGUAAGUAACUGUGCACGUCUUGACGGUACCUAAUCAGAAAGCCACGGCUAACUACGUGCCAGCAGCCGCGGUAAUACGUAGGUGGCAAGCGUUAUCCGGAAUUAUUGGGCGUAAAGCGCGCGUAGGCGGUUUCUUAAGUCUGAUGUGAAAGCCCACGGCUCAACCGUGGAGGGUCAUUGGAAACUGGGAAACUUGAGUGCAGAAGAGGAAAGUGGAAUUCCAUGUGUAGCGGUGAAAUGCGCAGAGAUAUGGAGGAACACCAGUGGCGAAGGCGACUUUCUGGUCUGUAACUGACGCUGAUGUGCGAAAGCGUGGGGAUCAAACAGGAUUAGAUACCCUGGUAGUCCACGCCGUAAACGAUGAGUGCUAAGUGUUAGGGGGUUUCCGCCCCUUAGUGCUGCAGCUAACGCAUUAAGCACUCCGCCUGGGGAGUACGACCGCAAGGUUGAAACUCAAAGGAAUUGACGGGGACCCGCACAAGCGGUGGAGCAUGUGGUUUAAUUCGAAGCAACGCGAAGAACCUUACCAAAUCUUGACAUCCUUUGAAAACUCUAGAGAUAGAGCCUUCCCCUUCGGGGGACAAAGUGACAGGUGGUGCAUGGUUGUCGUCAGCUCGUGUCGUGAGAUGUUGGGUUAAGUCCCGCAACGAGCGCAACCCUUAAGCUUAGUUGCCAUCAUUAAGUUGGGCACUCUAGGUUGACUGCCGGUGACAAACCGGAGGAAGGUGGGGAUGACGUCAAAUCAUCAUGCCCCUUAUGAUUUGGGCUACACACGUGCUACAAUGGACAAUACAAAGGGCAGCUAAACCGCGAGGUCAUGCAAAUCCCAUAAAGUUGUUCUCAGUUCGGAUUGUAGUCUGCAACUCGACUACAUGAAGCUGGAAUCGCUAGUAAUCGUAGAUCAGCAUGCUACGGUGAAUACGUUCCCGGGUCUUGUACACACCGCCCGUCACACCACGAGAGUUUGUAACACCCGAAGCCGGUGGAGUAACCAUUUAUGAGCAGCCUCGAAGUAUAUCCCAAAAAA
rnacentral:rRNA from 1 species